rnacentral:sRNA from 1 species
CGCCCGUCGAACUAUGAGAGCUGGUAAUAUCUAAAACCGUGUUGCUAACCGCAAGGAAGCGCAUGUCUAGGGUAGGACCGGUGAUUGGAGUUAAGUCGUAACAAGGUACCCCUACGAGAACGUGGGGGUGGAUCACCUCCUUUCUAUGGAGUAUAAACAAGCUUUAUACACCUUAUUACAAUAUUGGUGUUAAUAAUUUUAAAAUCCAAUUUAAAUGUUAAAACCCAUCGCAAAGCAAAUUUGAUGUCAACAUUUAUUUUGGUCAUGAUUUUAUCCAGUUUUGAGAGAAUUAAUCUCUCCUAUUACUUUAAAUUUUUAAAGUAGUAGAGAUGGUUCUUUGAAAACUGAAUACAGCAAAUCUUUCUAGUUCUUUGUGUGAAUAACACAAAUAUCAAAUGCUAAUGGAUAUCAAAAAAUAAGUUACUAAGGGCUUAUGGUGGAUGCCUUGGCACUGACAGGCGAUGAAGGACGUGCGAACCUGCGAAAAGCUACGGGGAGUCGGUUAGAGACGCUAAUCCGUAGGUGUCCGAAUGGGGGAACCCAGAAUAUGGAAACAUAUUUUAUUUAAUUCUGAAUUCAUAGGGGUUAAAAGCGAAACGUUGCGAAGUGAAACAUCUCAGUAGCAACAGGAAAAGAAAACGAAAGUGAUUCCGUGUGUAGUGGCGAGCGAAAGCGGAACAGGCCAAACCAGGAGCAAUCCUGGGGUUGUAGGACUACAAUGUGGACUUUGAGUUGAUAGGAGAAGUAGUUGGGAAGCUACACGAUACAGGGUGAUAGUCCCGUAACCGAAAUCAAAUCAAUACCUAGUAGGAUCCUGAGUACGUCGGAAAAUGUUAUUUUGACGGAACCUGCCCAAACCAUUGGGUAAGCCUAAAUACUAGUCAGUGACCGAUAGUGAACAA